rnacentral:lncRNA from 1 species
AUCAAUAGAAAAACCAAAAAAAGGUACAAAACUUAAGUAUUUACAACAUCGGUCUAAAGAUCGAUGAAAAAAUUUGGGACAGCUUCGAUAGGCUUUGAUGGUAAGGAAGCUUCGACAGUGGCAGAUGCUGGCCCAUUCUCAGGUGCUGGAUCAAAUCUUAGCCAUUCUCCAACUACAGUAGGAUCAGGGGCCAGAUCUCUUGUGGCUUCUCUUUCUUCUUCCUCUUCUCCUUGCUCUUCAUCCAGGAAGAUCAGGUCUAGAUGCGGAAGUGUGCCACUAUCUUUUUGCAGCAAUCAUCUUGUCCGGCACCUUAAGCUUCCUAACCGAACUCUACCUUCAUCUAGGAGAAUUCCUCUGACUUUCAAAAGGCUUUGAUUGUCAGACGUUCAGCUUCAGCAAUUUGGCUCUCUGUUUUCUUCUCGAUCUCUAUAGUCUUGGCCUGGGCCUCCCAUCGCCUCUUCUUCUCCGAGGCCAGGUCGGUCUUGACCUUUGCCUUGGCAGAUUCAAUCUUAUCCAAUGUCUCUUUCAAGUGUUUGGCUUCGACAUUGGCCAACUCAAUCUUGGACCGAGCCUUGGCCUCCAUAAUUUCUACCUUCUUCUGCACUUCGACGGUCUCUGACUCGAUGAUCCUCAGCGAGUUGACAAAAGUAGCAACGUGAUGGCCUAGCUAUACUUAGGAAAAGAAAAAGUCAACUAUUGAAAAAAAAGAAAAAGAGAAGAGAUAUAUACUACUACAAAAAUGGCUUAUGGUAGUGGUUUACAACCACUGCCGUAGCUCAAAAAACUACUGCCAG